GUGGGGAAUAUUGGGCAAUGGGCGAAAGCCUGACCCAGCGACGCCGAGUGGGGGAAGAAGUCCCUCGGGAUGUAAACCCUUGUUGUACGGGACGAAGGAAGUGACGGUACCGUACGAGGAAGCCCCGGCAAACUACGUGCCAGCAGCCGCGGUAAUACGUAGGGGGCGAGCGUUGUCCGGAAUCACUGGGCGUAAAGCGCACGUAGGCGGGCUGUUAAGUCGGCCGUGAAAGGCACUGGCUCAACCGGUGUUUGUCGGUCGAUACUGGCAGUCUGGAGUAUGGGAGAGGGAACUGGAAUUCCUGGUGUAGCGGUGAAAUGCGUAGAUAUCGGGAGGAACACCAGUGGCGAAGGCGGGUUCCUGGCCCAUGACUGACGCUGAGGUGCGAAAGCCGGGGGAGCGAACGGGAUUAGAAACCCUUGUAGUCC
rnacentral:rRNA from 1 species